GCGCAGCAGUCGAGAAACCUCCGCAAUACACGAAAGUGUGACGGGGCCAUCCCGAGUGCCGUCCGCUGAGGACGGCUUUUCCCCAGUGUACACAGCUGGGGGAAUAAGGAGAGGGCAAGCCUGGUGUCAGCCGCCGCGGUAAUACCAGCUCUCCGAGUGGUGGGGACGCUUAUUGGGCCUAAAGCAUCCGUAGCCGGCUGGGCAAGUCCUCCGUUAAAAUCCAACGAUUCAAUCGUUGGGCUGCGGGGGAUACUGUCCAGCUUGGGGGGCGGGAGAGGCCGACGGUAUUCCCGGGGUGGGGGUGAAAUCCUAUAAUCCCGGGAGGACCACCAGUGGCGAAGGCUGUCGGCUAGAACGCGCCCGACGGUGAGGGAUGAAAGC
rnacentral:rRNA from 1 species